rnacentral:rRNA from 1 species
GACGAACGCUGGCGGCGUGCUUAACACAUGCAAGUCGAACGGAAAGGCCCUGCUUGCCGGGUACUCGAGUGGCGAACGGGUGAGUAACACGUGGGUGAUCUGCCCUGCACUUCGGGAUAAGCCUGGGAAACUGGGUCUAAUACCGGAUAGGAGCCAUUUUUAGCGUGAUGGUUGGAAAGUUUUUUCGGUGUAGGAUGAGCUCGCGGCCUAUCAGCUUGUUGGUGGGGUAAUGGCCUACCAAGGCGGCGACGGGUAGCCGGCCUGAGAGGGUGGACGGCCACAUUGGGACUGAGAUACGGCCCAGACUCCUACGGGAGGCAGCAGUGGGGAAUAUUGCACAAUGGGCGCAAGCCUGAUGCAGCGACGCCGCGUGGGGGAUGACGGCCUUCGGGUUGUAAACUCCUUUCGCUAGGGACGAAGCUUUUGUGACGGUACCUAGAUAAGAAGCACCGGCUAACUACGUG